GCCGAUAUAGCUCAGCUGGCUAGAGCAGCUGAUUUGUAAUCAGCAGGUCGUGGGUUCGAGUCCCUCUAUCGGCUCUA
rnacentral:tRNA from 8 species